rnacentral:rRNA from 1 species
GAUGAACGCUGGCGGCGUGCCUAAUACAUGCAAGUCGAGCGAACGGACGAGAAGCUUGCUUCUCUGAUGUUAGCGGCGGACGGGUGAGUAACACGUGGAUAACCUACCUAUAAGACUGGGAUAACUUCGGGAAACCGGAGCUAAUACCGUAUGAUAUUUUGAUCCGCAUGGUUCAAAAGUGAAAGACGGUCUUGCUGUCACUUAUAGAUGGAUCCGCGCUGCAUUGGCUAGUUGGUAAGGUAACGGCUUACCAAGGCAACGAUGCAUAGCCGACCUGAUAGGGUGAUCGGCCACCCUGGAACGGAGACACGGUCCAGACUCCUACGGGAGGCAGCAGUAGGGAAUCGUCCGCAAUGGGCGAAAGCCUGACGGAGCAACGCCGCGUGAGUGAUGAAGGUCUUCGGAUCGUAAAACUCUGUUAUUAGGGAAGAACAUAUGUGUAAGUAACUGUGCACAUCUUGACGGUAACUAAUCAGAAAGCCACGGCUAACUACGUG